rnacentral:lncRNA from 1 species
CACCGAGCCGUGUAUAACUAUAAUACCCAGCCGCCACGACAGCGUGCCCACAAACCCAACUCCUCUCGCUCUCUCCCCGUCUGCCCCUCUCUUGACGACCUCUUCCCAAAUGAAGCGCCCGCAACCGCAACAAGCUGCUGCGGAGCAGAUCAUGGCGCUGUACGACGCCUGCUGGUUCCGCCGCCUCGUGCUGCUCGCUUCCCCUCCUCCCGCGGCGGCACCUCGGCCAUCUGUACCGGCGCAGCAGGCGCCGGUGGAGCGCGACGAGUUGGGUACUACGCACACGCCGCAUGCGCAGCGGCCUGCUUCUUCGAGUCCCACGGCCGGCGGGCUGCGGCACCGGCGAACGCGGAGCGACGAGGCUACCGCGGCCGCGUUCCUGGGCAUGGAGCCGCUGAGGCUCCCCGACAGAGGCAACCGCGCGCGCCUCCAGACCAUACUCUCGGGCAAAGACGGGCUCGUGGCCGCGCCGCCGCCGGAACGGAGAAGGCCCGGGCCCGGGAGGCGGCGGCAGCGGCGGCGCGGGCGGAGCAUGUCGGAGCUGGAGUUCGAGGAGGUCAAGGGCCUGCAGGACCUCGGCUUCACCUUCGCCGACGCCGAGGUGGACGCCGAGCUCGCGUCCAUCGUGCCGGGCCUAAGGAGGAAGCGGUCCGAGGAGGACAACAACAGCCGGGCCACGGCGGCGUCGACGUCUUCGGCCCGGCCGGAAGCUGCCGACGACGCGUCCGUGGCCGCCGUCGUGGCGCCGAGGCGGCCGUACCUCUCGGAGGCGUGGGACAGCGAGGAAGAAGAAGAGGUCAGGAGGGCGCUGCGCAGCUGGCGGAUACCGCCGGCUGGCGACGGCAACGAGCUCAAGGAGCACCUCCGGAUGUGGGCGCACACCGUGGCCUCCGCUGUCCGGUGACAGAAUCAACUUCUCUUUUCCUCCUCCUUUUUUUUAAUUGAUCACAAAACGCCAUUGGAGGUUGUCAGUUCGGUGACAGAUCGAAGUUUUGAGCAUGUAUAAAUAUGUGACCAAUAUUCGCAUGGGCAUCUAUAUCCAAGUUAUUAUUAUGAGCAUGUACAUGUACGUUUAUAUACAUAGUGGAAACACGAGAAGUGCAAUCCUUGUGCAGGAAGCAUAGCCAUAGCACGAAAUGAACAUGUGGCAAAAAAAAAGGGACAUGGGAGAGAGAGAUGAUCUCAUUUGCGCGCGCGCGGCAUGAGAUGCGAUCUCAUCUGAUUUCUGGCCACUGUUUGCCAAGAAAAGCAUCGUGUGGCUAGCUUGCUUUGAAGCUAAGGGUUCCAUAAUUCCACGAGUCAUGAUGGCAAGCCCAACAAUGAUGUGUUUGGAACAAUCUAGGUUUCCUGGCAGCUGACUUGUCAAAAUCCAGCGUGGUACGUGACAGAAAAGCUCUAGCUCCCCCUCCUCCUUAUUGGUCCUGAGUCAGCAGCUGCCCCUGCUGCUGCCUUUUUUUCUUCGUUCCACUAACUACAAUGUGCCCACAAACCCAACUCCUCUCGCUCUCUCCCCGUCUGCCCCUCUCUUGACGACCUCUUCCCAAAUGAAGCGCCCGCAACCGCAACAAGCUGCUGCGGAGCAGAUCAUGGCGCUGUACGACGCCUGCUGGUUCCGCCGCCUCGUGCUGCUCGCUUCCCCUCCUCCCGCGGCGGCACCUCGGCCAUCUGUACCGGCGCAGCAGGCGCCGGUGGAGCGCGACGAGUUGGGUACUACGCACACGCCGCAUGCGCAGCGGCCUGCUUCUUCGAGUCCCAC